UGGGGAAUAUUGGACAAUGGGCGAAAGCCUGAUCCAGCCAUGCCGCGUGUGUGAAGAAGGUCUUCGGAUUGUAAAGCACUUUAAGUUGGGAGGAAGGGCAUUAACCUAAUACGUUAGUGUUUUGACGUUACCGACAGAAUAAGCACCGGCUAACUCUGUGCCAGCAGCCGCGGUAAUACAGAGGGUGCAAGCGUUAAUCGGAAUUACUGGGCGUAAAGCGCGCGUGGGUGGUUUGUUAAGUUGGAUUUGAAAUCCCCGGGCUCAACCUGGGAACUGCAUUCAAAACUGACUGACUAGAGUAUGGUAGAGGGUGGUGGAAUUUCCUGUGUAGCGGUGAAAUGCGUAGAUAUAGGAAGGAACACCAGUGGCGAAGGCGACCACCUGGACUAAUACUGACACUGAGGUGCGAAAGCGUGGGGAGCAAACA
rnacentral:rRNA from 1 species